rnacentral:rRNA from 1 species
UACGUAGGGGGCUAGCGUUGUCCGGAAUCAUUGGGCGUAAAGCGCGUGUAGGCGGUCCGGUAAGUCCGCUGUGAAAGUCGGGGGCUCAACCCUCGAAUGCCGGUGGAUACUGUCGGGCUCGAGUACGGGAGAGGCGAGUGGAAUUCCUGGUGUAGCGGUGAAAUGGGCAGAUAUCAGGAGGAACACCGAUUGCGAAGGCAGCUCGCUGGAACGUUACUGACGCUGAGGCGCGAAAGCGUGGGGAGCAAACAGG